rnacentral:rRNA from 1 species
UACGUAGGGGGCCAGCGUUGUCCGAAGUUACUGGGCGUAAAGAGCGCGUAGGCGGGUCUUUAAGUGAGGGGUGAAAGGUUCAGGGCUCAACCCGAACACUGCCUUUCAUACUGGGGACCUUGAGGACGGGAGAGGCGAGUGGAAUGGUCGGUGUAGCGGUGAAAUGCGUAGAUAUCGAUCGGAACACCCAUGGCGAAGGCAGCUCGCUGGCCCGUUUCUGACGCUGAGGCGCGAAAGCGUGGGGAGCAAACAGG